CGGUCAUCCGAAGGAUGCCCAGGCGGCCCAGCCUCUUUCUAGUCUCCGGUGGGUUUGGCGGCUCCGCUCAGGAGACCUUGUCAUUGCCGACCCAGAAAGCCGACUUGUUCUCUGCUUCCAUCCAAGUUCUCCAUACUCCUGCGGGCUGCCCCAUUUUCCUUCCUGGUCAGGCCAUGACAAGGAGGGCUCCAAACCCCACGGAGGAGGCGGACUGGGGGCGGAGCUGCGAGCAGAUCGGUACCGCCCCCCCAACGCGUUCCUUCCGGGCGGGACUGCACGGGUUCCGCUUCUUGGUUCGGGCCGGCGUGAGGGGUGGCCUCCGUACCCCGGGGGCCGCGACCGAAGGACUCUGCUCCUUUAGCCUCAGCCGCGGUUGGAAGCAGGUUGAGGUAGGAGCAAAGUCAAUAAAAAAAACUGAAUUUCCGUUAAGAGCCCAGCUCCCCGCCGCUCCCAGCGGCCUUCCUCUGUAGACCCUCUCCCUUUAGGCGGAGACUUGGAGAGUCCGCCCCACGAGGGGGGCGGAGCCUAGUAAAGCUUAGGUGAGCUCCCAAGCAACCCGGAGCCGCCUCCCAAAACAGAGGGGUACCGCCAAGGCCUUUCUCCAGCCUAGUGCCCAGUCUAGGUUCUGUCGAGCAUGGUGGUGGGACUAGAAACCCUCGGGGCAGCUGCUGACCGGGAGGAAGCCGGGCCGCGAUAGCGCCACCCCCGUCUCCUCCCCCGCACCGCCCAGCGGCGCGACACUCUGGUUGGCUCGCCUUGCAAGUCAUACUUUGGGUCUCUCAGUUUGAAAACUCUUCCUCUCGGCCCCCUUUGAAGAAACUCAUUGACGCUGAAUGUUUUGAGGACCAGGUCAGCUUGGAGGCGGCAACUUUGGCGGACACCAGCGGGCAGGUCCAGCUCCGUGGCCCAUGAGCUUGGGCGAGAUGCGGAGCAGGAGCAAUUCUGGGGUCCGCCUGGACGGGUACGCGAGGCUGGUGCAGCAAACCAUCCUGUGUUACCAGAACCCAGUCACUGGGCUGUUAUCAGCCAGCCAUGACCAGAAGGAUGCCUGGGUACGGGACAAUAUCUAUAGCAUAUUGGCUGUUUGGGGCCUGGGCAUGGCCUACCGCAAGAAUGCUGACCGUGAUGAGGAUAAAGCCAAGGCCUAUGAGUUGGAACAGAACGUAGUGAAGCUGAUGCGAGGUCUUCUCCAGUGUAUGAUGAGGCAGGUGGACAAAGUGGAGAAGUUCAAGCACACUCAGAGUACCAAGGACAGUCUACAUGCCAAGUACAACACUGCCACAUGUAGCACUGUGGUGGGUGAUGACCAGUGGGGCCACCUCCAGGUGGAUGCCACCUCUCUCUUCCUCCUGUUCCUGGCCCAGAUGACAGCCUCAGGUUUGCGUAUUAUUUUUACCCUUGACGAAGUGGCCUUCAUACAGAAUCUUGUCUUCUACAUAGAAGCUGCAUAUAAAGUUGCUGAUUAUGGGAUGUGGGAGCGUGGAGAUAAAACCAAUCAGGGCAUUCCGGAACUGAAUGCAAGCUCGGUGGGAGUGGCCAAGGCAGCACUUGAGGCCAUUGAUGAACUAGAUCUUUUUGGAGCCCAUGGAGGACGCAAAUCGGUGAUCCACGUCCUACCUGAUGAAGUUGAGCACUGCCAGUCAAUUCUUUUCUCCAUGUUGCCAAGAGCAUCAACAUCUAAAGAAAUCGAUGCUGGACUUCUUUCUAUUAUUUCUUUCCCGGCCUUUGCAGUAGAAGAUGUGAACCUUGUGAAUGUGACCAAAAAUGAAAUUAUUUCCAAGCUUCAGGGGCGGUAUGGAUGCUGUCGCUUCCUUCGAGAUGGCUAUAAAACCCCAAGAGAGGAUCCACACCGAUUGCAUUAUGACCCUGCCGAACUUAAGCUCUUUGAAAACAUUGAAUGUGAAUGGCCUGUGUUCUGGACUUAUUUAAUCAUAGAUGGAAUCUUCAAUGGUGAUGCUGUUCAGGUCCAAGAAUACCGAGAAGCCUUGGAGGGAAUAUUAAUCAGAGGCAAAGAUGGGAUCCACUUGGUGCCAGAACUCUAUGCCAUCCCACCAGACAAGGUGGAUGAAGAGUAUAAGAAUCCACACACAGUAGACCGAGUUCCACUGGGAAAGCUGCCCCAUCUUUGGGGACAGUCCUUGUACAUCCUCAGCUCACUGCUAGCAGAGGGAUUCCUUGCCACGGGUGAAAUCGAUCCCUUAAAUAGAAGAUUUUCUACUUCAGUCAAACCUGAUGUUGUAGUGCAAGUUGCUGUUUUGGCAGAAAACAGUCACAUUAAGGGGCUGUUGAAGGAGCAUGGAAUGACUGUCCAGAGCAUUGCUGAUGUGCAUCCGAUUCGAGUCCAGCCAGGCCGAAUUCUUAGUCACAUAUAUGCCAAACUUGGACGAAAUAAGAAUAUGAAAUUGAGUGGUCGACCGUAUCGGCACAUUGGUGUCCUUGGCACCUCUAAACUCUAUGUGAUUAGGAAUCACAUCUUCACUUUUACACCCCAGUUCACUGACCAGCAUCACUUCUACCUGGCCCUGGACAAUGAGAUGAUUGUGGAGAUGCUGAGGAUCGAACUUGCCUAUCUGUGCACCUGCUGGCGGAUGACCGGCCGACCCACUCUCACCUUCCCUGUCACGCAUACCAUGCUCACAAAUGAUGGAUCAGACAUUCAUCCUGCAGUUCUUUCUACAAUUAGAAAACUAGAAGAUGGCUAUUUUGGAGGUGCUAGAGUAAAACUAGGAAAUCUGGCAGAGUUCCUUACUACCUCAUUCUACACACACCUGACCUUCCUGGAUCCAGACUGCGAUGAGAAGUUGUUUGGUGACAUCACUGAUAGGAGCUUUAGUCCUGACAGUGAGCCAGACCUGGGAGGAUACCUGGAAGACAGCAGUCCUCAAGAAAGCCAAGAUGAACUUGACCAGUAUAUCAGCCACCUUCUUCAAAGCACAUCCUUGAAGUGUUACCUGCCCCCUCUUUGUAAGAAGUCAGAAGACAGCCAUUUUUUCAGUGCUAUUCACUCCACUCGGGACAUACUUUCUGUGAUGGCCAAAGCGAAGGGUUUGGAAACUACAUUUUUUCCCAUGAUUUUGCCAACUAAAGUUCUAAGUGGACACCGUAAGUCACUGAAUCUUGUUGACUCCCCUCAGCCACUCCUAAAGACGACUCCUGAAUAUGACUACCAGUGGCCCAGAGACGACCAUGAUGAAGUGGACUGUGAGAAGCUAGUUGGGCAACUGAAAGACUGCUCAAACCUACAGGACCAAGCAGACAUUCUGUACAUUCUUUAUGUAAUGAAGGGUCCCCGCUGGGAUACCAAUUUGUUUGGGCAGCAUGGAGUCACUGUUCACAGUCUUCUCAGCGAGCUCUAUGGAAAAGCUGGCCUAAACCAAGAAUGGAGUUUGAUUCGCUACAUUUCAGGCCUGCUCAGGAAGAAAGUGGAGGUCCUGGCUGAGGCCUGUGCAGAUCUGCUGUCCCACCAGAAGCAGCUUACAGUAGGACUGCCCCCUGAGCCCCGGGAGAAGACCAUAUCUACGCCUCUACCCCCAGAGGAGCUCACAGAACUCAUAUAUGAAGCCAGUGGACAGGACAUCAGCAUUGCUGUCCUCACACAGGAGAUCGUGGUUUACCUGGCCAUGUAUGUCCGGGCCCAGCCUAGCCUCUUUGCAGAGAUGCUCAGACUCCGGAUUGGAUUGAUCAUCCAGGUGAUGGCCACAGAGCUGGCUCGGAGCCUGAACUGCUCAGGAAAAGAAGCUUCGGAGAGCUUGAUGAACCUCAGCCCUUUCGACAUGAAGAGCCUUCUGCAUCAUAUCCUGAGUGGGAAGGAGUUCGGUGUGGAGAGAAGCGUGCGCCCAAUACACUCCUCCAUGUCCAGCCCUGCCAUCUCCAUCCAUGAGGUGGGUCAUACUGGAGCCACCAAAACUGAGCGGAGUGGCAUCACCAGACUGAGGAGUGAGAUGAAACAGAUGAAUAGGCGAGCUAGUGCUGAUGAGCAGUUCUUUCCUUUGGGCCAGACCAUGUCCAACAGUUUGCAUUCCAUCAAGUCUGUGAGGUCCAGCACCCCAUCCUCCCCGACAGGCACAUCAUCUACAGACUCUGGAGGACAGCACCUGGGCUGGGGAGAACAGCAGGGCCAGUGGCUGCGCCGGAGAAGGUUGGAUGGGGCCAUUAACAGGGUCCCCGUGGGAUUCUACCAGAAAGUGUGGAAGAUCCUUCAGAAGGUGAGUGCCAUGGCCUGUCCAUCGAUGGUUACGUCCUCCCAUCCUCGACAACCCAAGAGAUGACCCCUUGUGAGAUCAAGUUUGCCGUCCAUGUGGAGUCAGUGCUCAACCGUGUGUCCCAGCCUGAGUAUCGGCAGCUACUGGUAGAAGCCAUCAUGGUACUGACUCUGCUCUCAGAUACCGAAAUGGACAGUAUCGGGGGCAUCAUCCAUGUGGACCAGAUAGUGCAGCUGGCCAAUCAGCUGUUCCUGCAGGACCAGGUGUCAUUUGGAACCACAGACAUCCUGGAAAAAGACCAAGCCACAGGAAUUUGCCACCUCUUUUAUGACAGUGCUCCUAGUGGGGCUUAUGGUACAAUGACCUACCUAACAAAAGCGGUCGCUUCUCAUUUGCAGGAACUGCUGCCCAGUUCAGGCUGCCAGAUGCAGUAGGGCCUUACCCAUAAACAUGUCCACCCUCUGAAUCUGUCAUUUGUAGACUCAUUGGGAACGUUCUUCUGCCUUCCCCCUCGAGCCCCUGUUCUGUCACAAAAAGCAUGUCCCACCAGAAAGCUUCGCAGGGAGAGAUGACAGCACUCAGGCUGAAAGCAGGAUGUGUUUAAGCCACAGCUAAUGCUGAUGAACCCGCUGCUCCCCUGAGAAGCACCCUGGGAUCAUUUUCUAGGUUCAUUUCACUGGAACAUUUGUCACAGCAUCUGCUCUCAUGGACUCCAAAAAGGAACUAGAAAUUGGUCUCUUCUGAGUGCAGAGUGAACAGAGAAGCAGCUUAAAUUGGCUCUCACCAAGAGUUACAGAAAUAGGUUCGAUGAACUAGUGACACAUCUUGAAGGUGAAAAGAUCCUUCCAGCAACAAUAGCUAGGCAGGCAGACCCUGACAGGGGCACAUCUUAACAGAAUGACGUCUGUCUGAACCAAGCUGUUCACCAAGCAGAAUAAGUCUGUCUUUCUGGAAGUUUUUUCAGUGCCCUAGUCUACUCUGGUCAUGUAAUUCUUCAUUGCCAAAAUGGACUAAAUUUGCCCUAGUUAACUUUGACUUAUACUCUUCAGAGGAACUUGUCCUGGCUGUUUAUACUUAAGGGCAUCUCUUCUUACCUUAAGAAAAUCCCUUAUCUUCCAGAAUCCAGAAAAAGUAUCUGGCUUUUCUGAUAGGCAGACAAAGCCUUGUUUUAGGAUUGUAACAGGUAGCCUGUGUCCCUGCUCCCCCUGAGAGCACUAUACUGCAGGCUCAGAGCAUGAGUCAGCAUUUGCCAUAGAAAUGAGUGGUGUGUUCCUGCACAAACAAUGUUCACUUCAUUUUUACAGAAGCACUCGCAGAUGGGUAUGGUCAGGGCACUGCAGCAGGGAAGGCUCAGGCCUGACCAAAUCUGCUAAAUCUUUCACCGUUGUCCUGGGGAAUAGCAUUGCUUUUUAAGUCUUGUCUUCCCCGUGUUAGGACAGAGACGGACAACGAAAAUAAUAGUUUCUGGGAAUAAUCAGCCCUGAAAGACGUCACUGGUGCCCAAGUAUCAUGCUCACAUUUGGUUGUGAUAGGUUGCAAUUCGCAGUGGCUUUUCACCUCUGAAAUGGAAACAAGGCUGUCCCUGAGCUUCUCCAAGUGUAUGUGGAGAUGAAAGGAGGAUGGUGCUCAGAGGUGUCCGGAGCUCUCAGAGUGCAGAUGCAGGGCAUGGCGCCUUGUUCUCAAAGUAGAAGAUGCCAGGGAGCCAUGGGGGUCCUCAGCAUUUAUAGGCAUUUUUUAAAAAUGUAUUUAUCUGUUUCUGUGUGUAUAUGUGCAUGCGUGCGCGUGUGUGUGUGUGUCUGUGUGUGCAUGCACACCGCCUGUGUAGGGGUCCCUGUGGAAGCCAGAAGGAAGUAUCAGAUCCCCCAGGAGCUGGAGCUGUUGACAGUUUUAAGCCACCUUGACAUGGAUUCUGAGAACCCAACUCAGGUCCUCUGGAAGAGCAGCAAGCACUCAUAACUGCUGGGCAUCUCUCCUGCCCUCUUGUAUCUUUAUGACAUUUUCAACAUAAUCCAGGCUCAGAGCCCUGUAAUUGCCUAACAGGCUCCUGGUAGAGAAUUUUGAACAUACAGUAAAAAAGAUACAGGCAGCCGGGCAUGGUGGCGCACGCCUUUAUUCCCAGCACUUGGGAGGCAGAGGCAGGGGGAUCUCUGAGUUCGAGGCCAGCCUGGUCUACAAAGUGAGCUCCAGGACAGCCAGGGCUAUACAGAGAAACACUGUCUCAAAAAAAAAAAAAAAAAAAGAUACAGGCAUAAGAGUGCCCAGUGCUGCAUGAGGGAAGUUCUAGAAGAACUAGAGUCCUUCAGACUAGGCCCAGGCUGACUCCGAACACUCAGCCUGCCAGUGAUGUGGCUGUGAAGUGAGAAGCAGCAGCUGCUGCUUUGCGCUCAAGAUGAGACUCUGGCCAGGGAGACGAGCCACAAAAAGCAAUUCGCUGCAGCUUCCCAGCCGUUCUUUGAAAUCUCUUUCAAAUGAAGUCCUGAAAUAGGACUGCAUUUCCACAGGCAGCAAGCUGCCAGCUUCAAAGGAGGAGAGCAGGCUUCUGAGACUAUCCCUUUAGCGAGCAGCCCAAGACAGGCAGAUGUGGGAGAGGAUGGCAACAAGCCUGCCCUUGCCUAGAGGUACUGGUGGGGAGAAGGCCUCACAAGCCCUGUGGCCUUGGUCUUGGUUGACUGUUCCCCAACAACCAGGGGCAUGGUCAGGAGGCUUUUCCCCAUUUUCUCUCCCAUCCCUGGAAAGCCAGGGUUUUGGUUUUGGGGUUUUGGGUUUUGGUGUUAUUGUUUUGGUUUGUUUUUUUGUUUGUUUGUUUUGUUUUGUUUUUUACCUUUGCAGGGGACUAUAAUGUGGUCUCAGAGGACAGACACAUUAAUAGUUCUUUUUUUAUGCUAUUUUUUUAAUUACGUAUUUUCCUCAAUUACAUUUCCAAUGCUAUCCCAAAAGUCUCCCACACCCUCCCCCCCCCCACACCCCUACCCACCCACUCCCAUUUUUUGGCCCUGGCGUUCCCCUGUACUGGGGCAUAUAAAGUUUGCCUGUCCAGUGGGCCUCUCUUUCCAGUGAUGGCCGACUAGGCCAUCUUUUGAUACAUAUGCAGCUAGAGUCAAGAGCUCCGGGGUACUAGUUAGUUCAUAAUGUUGUUGCACCUACAGGGUUGCAGAUCUCUUUAGCUCCUUGGAUACACUCUCUAGCUCCUCCAUUGGGGGCCCUGUGAUCCAUCCAAUAGUUGACUGUGAGCAUCCAUUUCUGUGUUUGUUAGGCCCCGGCCUAGUCUCACAAGAGACAGCUAUAUCAUGGUCCUUGCAACAAACGCUUGCUAGUGUAUGCAAUGGUGUCAGUGUUUGGAAGCUGAUUAUGGGAUGGAUCCCCGAGUAUGGCAGUCUCUUGAUGGUCCAUCCUUUUGUCUCAGCUCCAAACUUUGUCUCUGUAACUCCUUCCAUGGGUGAUUGUUUCUAUUUCUAAGAAGGGGCAAAGUGUCCACACUUUGGUCUUCAUUCUUCUUCAGUUUCAUGUGUUUUGCAAAUUGUACCUUAUAUCUCACUAUACUAAGUUUCUGGGCUAAUAUCCACUUAUCAGUGAGUACAUAUUAUUUGAGUUCUUUUGUGAUUGUGUUACCUCACUCAGGAUGAUGCCCUCCAGGUCCAUCCAUUUGCCUAGGAAUUUCAUAAAUCCAUUCUUUUUAAUAGCUGAGUAGUACUCCAUUGUGUAAAUGUACCACAUUUUUUGUAUCCAUCCCUCUGUUGAGGGGUAUCUGGGUUCUUUCCAGCUUCUGGCUAUUAUAAAUAAGGCUGCUAUGAACAUAGUGGAGCAUGUGUCCUUCUUACCAGUUGGAACAUCUUCUGGGUAUAUGCCCAGGAGAGGUAUUGCGGGAUCCUCCGGUAGUACUAUGUCCAAUUUUCGGAGGAACCGCCAGACUGAUUUCCAGAGUGGUUGUACAAGCCUGCAAUCCCACCAACAAUGGAGGAGUGUUCCUCUUUCUCCACAUCCUCACCAGCAUCUGCUGUCACCUGAAUUUUUGAUCUUAACCAUUCUAACUGGUGUGAGAUGGAGUCUCAGGGUUGUUUUGAUUUGCAUUUCUCUGAUGAUUAAGGAUGCUGAACAUUUUUUUCAGGUGCUUCUCAGCCAUUCGGUAUUCCUCGGUGAGAAUUCUUUGUUUAGCUCUGAGCCCCAUCUUUUAAGGGGGUUGUUUGAUUUUCUGGAGUCCAUCCUCUUGAGUUCUUUAUAUAUAUUGGAUAUUAGUCCCCUAUCUGAUUUAAGAUAGGUAAAGAUCCUUUCCCAAUCUGUUGGUGGCCUUUUUGUCUUAUUGACGGUGUCUUUUGCCUGGCAGAAGCUUUGCAGUUUUAUGAGGUCCCAUUUGUCAAUCCUUGAUCUUACAGCACAAGCCAUUGCUGUUCUAUUCAGGAAUUUUUCCCCUGUGCCCAUAUCUUCGAGGCUUUUCCCCACUUUCUCCUCUAUAAGUUUCAGUGUCUCUGGUUUUAUGUGAAGUUCCUUGAUCCACUUAGAUUUGACCUUAGUACAAGGAGAUAGGAAUGGAUUGAUUCACAUUCUUCUACAUGAUAAACAACCAGUUGUGCCAGCACCAUUUGUUGAAAAUGCUGUCUUUUUUCCACUGGAUGGUUUUAGCUCCCUUGUCGAAGAUCAAGUGACCAUAGGUGUGUGGGUUCAUCUCUGGGUCUUCAAUUCUAUUCCAUUGGUCUACUUGUCUGUCACUAUACCAGUACCAUGCAGUUUUUAUCACAAUUGCUCUGUAGUAAAGCUUUAGGUCAGGCAUGGUGAUUCCACCAGAGGUUCUUUUAUCCUUGAGAAGAGCUUUUGCUAUCCUAGGUUUUUUGUUAUUCCAGAUGAAUUUGCAGAUUGCCCUUUCUAAUUCGUUGAAGAAUUGAGUUGGAAUUUUGAUGGGGAUUGCAUUGAAUCUGUCGAUUGCUUUUGGCAAGAUAGCCAUUUUUACAAUGUUGAUCCUGCCAAUCCAUGAGCAUGGGAGAUCUUUCCAUCUUCUGAGAUCUUCUUUAAUUUCUUUCUUCAGAGACUUGAAGUUUUUAUCAUACAGAUCUUUCACUUUCUUAGUUAGAGUCAUGCCAAGAUAUUUUAUAUUAUUUGUGACUAUUGAGAAGGGUGUUGUUUCCCUAAUUUCUUUCUCAGCCUGUUUAUUCUCUGUGUAGAGAAAGGCCAUUGACUUGUUUCAGUUAAUUUUAUAUCCAGCUACUUCACCGAAGCUGUUUAUCAGGUUUAGGAGUUCUCUGGUGGAAUUUUAAGGUCACUUAUAUAUACUAUCAUAUCGUCUGCAAAAAGUGAUAUUUUGACUUCCUCUUUUCCAAUUUGUAUCCCCUUGAUCUCCUUUUGUUGUCGAAUUGCUCUGGCUAGGACUUCAAGUACCAUGUUGAUGAGGUAGGGAGAAAGUGGGCAGCCUUGUCUAGUCCCUGAUUUUAGUGGGAUUGCUUCCAGCUUCUCACCAUAUAAUGUGGUCUCAGAGGACAGACACAUUAAUAGUUCUUUUACCAUAUUCAGCUGAAAGGCAGCAGGCUGUCCUAUGGUCUGUCCUGUGGUUUUACCAUUAAGUUUACCAUCCUAGCACUGACACCAGUACUUGAUGUUGGGCAAGCAAAUUGACCUCUGUGUGCCUUAGUUUACCCAUCUGCAAAGAAGAGUUAGAAGCCUUCUGACUGGUACAGAACCUUCAUUUGGUAGUAGGUAGGUGACCAGAUAUACCCUAGAGCAACAGCAGACCAUCUGAAACGAGGUAAAAAUGUGCCAGUUUAGUCCACCAGUCUUCUCACAAAUAGUGGUUGUCAGGCCUCAGCUUCCCAGAUAGAAAGAAUGCAAAUGUGUCUGCUGGAACAAAAGGAGAGCCCACCAAUCAGGAGCCAAGAGAAAUCCUUUGCCAGUUGAUUGAUGCCAUUUAUUUCUGAACAAGAUGACAGGAGGCUUGGCCUCCCUUUCUAUAAAUUACAGUGGAGACAUCUCUGUUCUAUUGACUUGUACACAAGUCUGCCAAGCCACCUUUGUCUCUUUGCUUCCUUUUUGUCAAAGGGGACAACAGUCUCAGUCUCUCUCUCUCUCUCUCUCUCUCUCUCUCUCUCUCUCUCUCUCUCUCUGCCACUCUCUUUCAAGGUCACUUCAGCUUUUAAGUCCCUGCCAUAUGCUGUGUAUAGCUCUGUACUUUGCAGGGUAGAAGAACAUCAUGUUCCCAGAAUUCCUUCUGUUCCUAUCAUACAUGGUCAUUGAUAGUUUGUCUGUGAAGAAAGAAAGCAGUUCUUGGCCCUCAGGGCCCUGUACCCCUCAUCUGUCCAUCAGAAAGUCACUUAGGAAAAGCUCUAUAACCUUGAGUCACCAAGUAAAUUACCAGAGGAAUGAAAAGACCAGAUAUUAAGUCUGAUCUCCAAUUUUAUGCUGUGCCUGACUGCUGUUAGAAAAAAAUUCCAUCAGAAAAUUGUUUUUUUAAAGAGAGUAUAUGUGCAUUUUUAAGGGACUAUAAUGUUUCUUAGAGGAACUGGAAUCAAUAGAAACUAAACUCUGAACUUAUGUGACUUUCCCCUCGCCUUACCUCAGUACAUAGCUCUUCUGAAAAAAAUGAACAAAGGAAUCCAAAGUCAUUUGCAGCAUGCCUUCUAUGCCCAGGCUUCACUAAGUAAGCACAUAGGAGCUUGGGCAUGCACAGUGGCAGAUAACAAGCAGCCUGCUCAUUUCUGAAGCUCUAGGAGGAAAGGACAUUGACCAGGCUGCUAAUCGAGAGUUCUUCAUGCUGAUGUGUUGACAUUCACAUCUCAGUUCUAAAUUUGGUGGCUGCCGAAGCCUUCCACCUCCAGCUAGUGCAGGUGAGGUGCCAAGUUUUGCCAAGGACAGGCUUCAGGUUAACUAAGCUGUGUCUUCAUUGAGCACAAGGGAUAACUGAUUUCAUAGCUUCUUUUAAAGGGGAGGGCAGUGUGCAGAGGUAUGCAUCACACCUGUGCACACUUAGAGGCUAGAGGAAGACACUGGGUGUCCUGGUCUAUCACCACCUCACUCCCUUGAAGCAGAGUCUCGCUGACUCUGGACUUAAGCGAGAAGCCAGCAGGCCUGUCUCUACUCUCCCAUGUGCCCCAACUUGUGUGCAUAUGCAUCCACAUGCAUAGAUUGUGCUGGAGUUAUGGACACGUGUGGCUGCACAUGACCUUUCAUAUGAGUCUUGGGAUUUAAACUCAGGUCCUCCUGCUUGCAUAGCAGUCACUCUUACUUGCUGGACCCUAACCUCCCAACUCAGUUUUGAAGGUUCUUCCCCGCAACCAACUCUGAAUAGACUUGCCAAGGAGAAAUAUCAGUAAUUGGCUCUAGACUCUCAUUGUCAUGUUACUUUUGACCAAAUGUUGCAGUGCUUGUUUGCAAGUAAGUCAAAUAAACUUUAGCUGGGUAAAUAUGGAAGAUAUUCCAUGAAGAAUAUUGGAUAAGUCACAUAUCAGAACCAAGUCUCCAGAUUGCUCCCAGCCUCACAGAUGCCCCUGACGCAGGAUACUGCCACUAAAGCCAUUGCCUCUGCAAUUCUGGAAACUUACUGUAGGGACUGCCACCUGUUACUAGCAUGAACUGCAAACAGCCACAAGCUGCCAGUGCAAGGUCUUAGGCAGGAACGCAGUAGCAGCUGGAGGAAGAGGCCAUUAGCUGGUCAUCUGCCUUCUCCAGUUGAGGUGGACUCAGUCUCACAGUGUAUGAGAUAAUGAAUAGGGUUGAGAGCAACUGUCCUAAACAAAUGUUAUUCCAGCCAGGCAUCUAGCUUUUGUUCCUUUGUCCAGAAAAUAAAGAAGGGCCUGUUUUCUUCCUC